AUGUUUAUGUUUUGGUCUGAUGCUUUUGUGCAAAGCCACUUUAAGCGAGGAUGUAAACAGAUGCACAUCAGUCACUUCUUUAAGAGCUGCUGGCUGUUGAUAAAAGCUGCUGUUUCUGGUGUCUUUUUGUAUCUCAGCAGAUCACUCAGCCACAAAAGCCCUCUGUGUUCAUAUACGAUAAAGCCCCCGCUAUUCUACCCCCGGCCCCAUCGUAGGCUUUGUGUCAUUAUUCCUGAUGUCUAUCAGAUGUCUAAACCAUGUGUAUCAAUCUCAGGUCCAUGGGCCAAAUCCAAGUUCUGUCUCUUCAACUGCUUGCUUACAUCUCUCGCUACGAAGGUGGAGAAGGUUUCUGUCAGUGUGAAAUGAAGACUGAUGGAUAUCAGAGGAGGAGUGGCUGAGCUUUGAUUGGGUGGUGGUGGAGCUGAGCUGUCAGGGAGUGUCAUGGGCCUGUACUAAUGUCCUGGGGGUCAGACACGUAUCACCAUUGCCCCUGAGAGGGGACGUUAUGGGGUUUUGAAAAGACUCUAAAUGGGCUAUGAAUGUUUCAAAUGAGAUGAAUGAGUGCAAGUAGAAUAACAACAGAAACUGUGAAAAUCUCCAGGGGGGUUGGUUUCACGGUUCACUUAGGCGGGGGGCAAAGUCCGUCUUGCCUGGGGCCCCGAAUGCCGUGAAAUUUGCUACAUCGAACUUUGCUGAUUACAAAAGUUGAAUAGUUAGAUUUUUCUGCACUUCCUUCAUGCGUAUAUUUUCUUCUAUGUGCUUCAUCUGCUUCCUGCAGUUGCACGAGGUGCAAUCCCACCAUGAGCCUGAUGUUCAGCCACAGGCUAGUCAGCUGUUAGUCCCUCCUUUUUUGUCCUGCCUUCCUGUCCUACUUUCCAACAAGUACGGAGGAAACUGGGACCUGGGGAUAAACACCCCCACAUCGGCUUAGUGCCUGGAGAUGAUCACUUGCCUUGUGGAAGCUGCAGAUGUUUUGCUGUGCUUCCGUCUGUUGUGAUGAUGGUCAGAACCCAGCUGGAAAGGAGCCAAGUGGGUUUACCCGAGCCCACAACAGAUGUACUGCUGAACAACAACAAAUAUGCCCAAUAAGCAAAGUAUUCAAAAUGGUGCAGCUGUAAACACGCAGGACGUGUCCUAGGAGGAUCAUCACCUUUUUGAUUAAAUGAGUCAGCUGAAAUGUGUCAACAUUAUCACAGCAGUGAGAAGUAACACAUCUCAAAGAUGAAGAACAUAAAACACGUUAGAGCUCUAAAACCUUUCACCUGAAUGUUUACUAUUAAUGAUUUCAUAACAGAUCUAAUUAUUGAUUUCAGUGGGAUUUGUUUUUUUUUUUUAAGUUUUAAGCAAUUUUUACAAAAGUAAAAAUUAUUAUUUCAGCCUUUCAUGACGGGUUUCAUUUUAAAGUUCAGGGGCUUUAUUUUUAAAAGGGGCCUGAAAGACGAAAUGGUAAAUGGCCUGCAUUUGAUAAGCACCUUCUUAAGGCUCUGCAACCGCCCAAGGCACUUCACAACACAAUCAUUCAUCCACCCAGUCACACACUGGUGGAGAUGCGCUAUGAUGUAGCCACAGCUGCCCUGGGACACACUGACAGAGGCGAGGCUGCCGAACACUGGCGCCACCGGCCCCUCCGACACCACCAGCAGCCAGGGCAGGUUAAGCUCCCCAAAUUUUGUCUGUUGACACAUUUCCCAGAGUUAGAUAAGUGGAAAAAAAAUAAUUGUAACCAGCCCAGUGAUUCUCCUGACCCAUCUGUACUCCUUUAGCUUUUUUUUUUUGGGGGGGGGGGGUCGGGGG
ensembl:lncRNA